GAUGAAGACGUAGCGAAAUGCGAUACGUAAUGUGAAUUGCAGAAUUCAGUGAAUCAUCGAGUCUUUGAACGCACAUUGCGCCCCCUGGUAUUCCGGGGGGCAUGCCUGUCCGAGCGUCAUUGCUGCCCUCAAGCCCGGCUUGUGUGUUGGGUCUCGUCCCCCUUCCCGGGGGGACGGGCCCGAAAGGCAGCGGCGGCACCGCGUCCGGUCCUCGAGCGUAUGGGGCUUUGUCACCCGCUCUGUAGGCCCGGCCGGCGCUUGCCGAUCAACCAAAACUUUUUUCCAGGUUGACCUCGGAUCAGGUAGGGAUACCCGCUGAACUUAAGCAUAUCAAUAAGCGGAGGA
rnacentral:misc_RNA from 1 species